UAAUACGUAGGGUGCAAGCGUUGUCCGGAAUUAUUGGGCGUAAAGAGCUCGUAGGCGGUCUGUUGCGUCGGCUGUGAAAACCCGGGGCUCAACCCCGGGCCUGCAGCCGAUACGGGCAGACUAGAGUUCGGCAGGGGAGACUGGAAUUCCUGGUGUAGCGGUGAAAUGCGCAGAUAUCAGGAGGAACACCGGUGGCGAAGGCGGGUCUCUGGGCCGAAACUGACGCUGAGGAGCGAAAGCGUGGGGAGCGAACAGGAUUAGAUACCCUGGUAGUCCACGCCGUAAACGUUGGGCGCUAGGUGUGGGUUCCCUUCCACGGGAUCCGUGCCGCAGCUAACGCAUUAAGCGCCCCGCCUGGGGAGUACGGCCGCAAGGCUA
rnacentral:rRNA from 1 species